AUAAAUCCCAACAUCUUCCA
rnacentral:miRNA from 1 species